AUGUUGGCACUGCCUCAAACUCUUCUAUCUCGAACCAGUUACAGUGUCCUGCCAGCUAUCAAGAAGGGCACUAAAGUUACUAAAAUGGAGACAACAGAACCCCUAUGUCCCUUGACACCUGAUGGGGAGAUAAUGAUCUCCUCUUCAUCUGUUGAUGACCUCCUGACCCUAAAGAGUGAUGUCAUGUCCGAGGCUAAGAGCGAUGAUGCCUCCCGUCCAAUUGAACCUGAGAUGUUCUCUCUAACAAACUUCCUGAAGUCUCACCCUAAGAGAAAGCUUAUCAGGAAAUUCCUCAAACAAAUGAACGUGACAAUAGGCGACCUGGACGAGAUCAUCGAGUGGGUGGUGUGUGUCUCCAAUGAGGUGUUCCUCCCAGUGAUGGCUCUGAUCCGGACCUCCAGUCCAGAGUCGUCCACCUCAUCCCGAUGGGGGUCAGGUGAGCUCCAGAUCAUCUCCAGGGAGUUCCACCAGCGGAGUUCUGAGCCGAAGGGAAGGCUCCUGGGUGGGCAGCCGCCCACUCCCCCUUCUGAGACCGACAAGGAGCUUCAGGGCGUAGCAGAUCUGUCUGUGAGUAACAUCCUGAAAAGGGCCCAGGAGGACCUCUUCUUUUCUGGUGAGGAUGACCUGGAGAACACCCAUCCAGGCAUCACUCUGACCGAAGAGAGCCUCUCCAGCAUCUUCUCAGAGUUGUUCAGGGACGCCUGUGAGAGUGCCCAGGAGGCCACCAGACAGAUCCACCACAUGAGGUCUGGAAGAGGCAACAACAGCCGGAAUGGGAGAUGCCCUGGGUUAUCACAGGGAUCGAGCAGGUCCAACAUGCUAGAUUUGGGAGAACUGGGGUCAGUGAGGAGGCCCAAGGGAAGCGACGUCCAUAAAGUCCUUAGCGAGGGGUCCCUCCCUGUCUUUGCCCUGCUUGGGGAGAGGCCAGGGGAAGUUGGGGAGACCAGCAGCCCUGCUGGGGAGAUGGACGCGACCCAGACUGCCAGCACUCCCAGCAUUCCCCAGUCUGGGCAUGGCAGCAGAAGAAGUAGCCAGACCACUGCUCCCAUCACCGGCCACAGAGAGGCAGGAGUCACAGCCAGUAACAUCUUUGAUGUUAUUUUUCAUCUGACGCACUCUGACACUGACCGGAAACACCACCAGGAGUUCAGCAGUGAGGAUGAUGUUUCACUGAAUGACAUCAUGGACAUGAAGUUAACCCCACCAGUGGAGCCCCUGGGGCAGAUCCUGUCCUCAUGGAAGCUGGUCAACAGGAUCUUCAGGGGGAAGGUCCACUACUUUGGGAAGGAGCUCAUCUGCAAGGUGUAUCAGAUGCUUCUGGACACCGGUAUGGGCAGGAGGCCAAUGGCCCGCCAGAGCAGGUCCGAGCCCAUCCUGAAAGACCUGGCUGCCAAACGUAGGCUCUCCGAUGAAUUCUUCACAGACGUGCUGUACAUGUUCAUCCAACGGGCCAUUAAGAAUCUGCUGGAGAACUUCUUGGGUCUGCCGACCACCCCACCGGGUAGAGACAUUAUGUGGAAUGACAACUUCAACUGGAUGUAUAGGGACGGCUGGGGGGACACCCCCACAUCCAGCAAGGACGAGUUGUGGGACAGCGACUCCACCUGGUCAAGUGAGCUUGGAGAGGAGGAGGGGGCAGAGUCCCGUGGGAGGUGGGCCGCUCUGUUGGAGAAGGGCAGCUUCCUGACCCUCCAGUCCUCCAGCUCCCUCUCCGAUGACAACAAGGAGGCACUAGGGGCCGUCUACCAGGUCCUGACCACCAGGGUGGGAGACAUCCUGAACAGUACCUGCAACGACGAUUACAAGGCCAGGCUCAUCAUCCAGAAAGGAUUGGAUUCCGGUGCCAGGGAAAGGUUCCCUGACUCUCCGUGUUCCUCUUCACCCAAGGACGAAGAGGAGGUGGUUGUGAGUGGCAUGACUGUCUCAUACCCUAAACCCUCCACCUCAACCCAGGCAGCAUGGGCAGCUCCUGCCCAGACUCUGGACGUUUUUCUGCCCAGACCCUGCCUGGAUGAAGAAGAGGUAGUCCCCAGCACCUCCAUGAAGGACGACUCUGUGACGACCACCCAUGCAGCACGGGCAGCUCCUUACCAGACCCUGGAAGAAGAGGUGGGGGGAGCUGAGGUCUCCGAGAUGAGUGACAGCUCCCUGAUGCCCACCAAGAACAGGCAGGACCCCCUGCAGAAUAUUCCCUCCCUCCUACCAGGCAAGGAGGACAUCCUCCUUCGGUCCACUCCCUGGACCACCGUCAUGAGCCCCCAGACCCUGAAGUUUAUUCUCCACGGCAUCAUGUGCCAACUGGAGGCCUCAGAGUCCCCCCAGACAAGGAGGGCCAAUGACCCCUUCAGGCUGAUGAAGGAUCUCUUUGUGGAGGUCCAGCAUGCCCUGAAGUAUGCUGACAUCUCUGUCGUCUUUGGCCUGGAGGAGAGCAUCCAAUUCAGUGGGGAGGAUGCGGUGAAGGCCAUCGUGAAGACUGCGGCUAAAAGAUUGUCCCUGCGUUCGGACGCCAACCGGGCUCAACUGUGUGCCGCACGCUCUGGUAGUGAGGGAGCCAUCGGGUGCAUGGCGGACACCAUCACACAAGUCAUAGAUGACUAUUCCGAGGACUGGAGUUCCGACGGCCAUUUUGGAGCCAGGAGGAGCCAUGCUAGUGGGAGAUCAUACUCCUCAACCUCCUCAAGGAGUGACGUCACCCUCACCGAGGAGCUCCUGGCUUGGAAGGAAACCCUAGAAGGGGACCUAGAGGAGAUGGCUGAUGACAUCACUGGUUUGGAAAAGACCAGUGUAAGCUCAGCCAUCUCUGAGAAGUCCCAGGUAAUUAGCUACCUUUCUGAAAGCACCAAGCCCAUCAGCAGCGCCCUCUCCACAGACCUCGAGGACAUCACCUCCACACAGGUGAGACAGACAAGAACCAGUAGAUCGUUUAGUUAUUUGGCCUGUUUGAUUGUGAGGCAUCGACUCAUAUCUGUUUCUCUCUCUACUAAGAAGAAAGAGAAGGAAGAGGCUAUGGAGAAAGAAGUGAGGAAGUCAGGGAAGAAGAAGCGAGGAAAUAACAAGGAUCAGAAGAAGAACAAGGUGUCUCCUCUUGGCAAUGAUAGUACUGUUGCUGCAGAUGAGCCUAAGAAAAAACAGGCUCUCCUCCCGCGAAUCACAGCCGCCCUGGCAAAACUAUUUUGCUUCCCCUGCAAAAAAAAAAUCAAAAAGUAA
rnacentral:lncRNA from 8 species